AAUAAGUCAAAACUUUCAACAACGGAUCUCUUGGUUCUGGCAUCGAUGAAGAACGCAGCGAAAUGCGAUACGUAAUGUGAAUUGCAGAAUUUNGUGAAUCAUCGAAUCUUUGAACGCACAUUGCGCCCGCUGGUAUUCUAGCGGGGAUGCCUGUGCGAGCGUCAUUUAAACCCUUAAGCACAGCUUAGCGUUGGGAA
rnacentral:rRNA from 1 species